GCGUACAAACAGCGCGAGGAAAAAAUAAAGCGUUCCCUCAAGGAACGAUCAAAGCGCUCUUUCGCAGAAAUGCUGAAGAGUGCUGAGCCACCCUCGACAGGAAACAUCUUUUCCUUUUUGCCAACCGAUGAGGGUACAUCUGACGAUCCUGUCGAAGGGUGUUCUUAUGCCAUGCCAGAAGGAUCUAGGAAGAGGAGAAUGAUCAACUCUCCUAAUCUUUCUCGCAAAGGUCGCAAGAUAACCCCUUGCGGAAUGACCAAUAAGCCAACACAAAAAGGAAGCGGUGAAUAAAAACCGAAGCAAGUACCUCCCGGUUUUAAUUUUAAAUCAAACCAGGAGUACCCACCGCUUCCUGGGGCACCAAAAACCCCUCGUGCACCCAUUUCUCGAUCAGAAGAUAAAAAAGAAACAGGGUUCAUAAAAUUUUCUGAUAUUGUGGACUGGAUAUUUAAAACAUUCAACAUACCAGAUCCCCUACAAAAUAUUCUUCUUGCCCUUCUUCCUACAGUGAAAACCUUUUUGAUGCAACUAGCAGCAACUUGGCCCCUCAUUUCAGCUAUCAUAUCUUUCGAUGACUAAUACGGCGAAAGAGGAUAGGAAUUUUAUCACUGUAUUACAGUGGAAUUGCAGAAGUAUCAUCCCCAAAUUCGAUCUAUUUUCUCAUUUAAUAAAUACAUACAAUUGUGACGCAUUUGCGCUCUGUGAAACCUUUCUCAAUUCAAACGAUCAACUCAAUUUCCACGAUUUUAACAUUAUUCGUCGAGAUCGAGACUCACACGGUGGAGGGGUACUUUUAGGGAUUAAAAAGUGCUAUUCCUUCUUCCGAAUCGACCUCCCCUCGAUCUCGAAUAUUGAAGUCGUUGCCAUUCAAACGAAUAUGAAUGGAAAAGACCUAUGCCUUGUUUCGUUAUAUAUGCCUCCAUCCGCGCGAAUUGAACAGAAGCAUCUCACUGAUAUAGCAGAGUUGCUUCCCGCGUCUUUUUUGAUAUUGGGAGAUUUUAAUUCUCACUGUUCGCUAUAGGGGUCGCUGUACGACGACAACCGAUCUUCUUUAAUCUGUAACUUAAUCGACGACUUCAAUAUGACAUUUUUGAAUACUGGGGAAGCGACACGUGUACCUAAUCCUCCAGCACGUGAAAGCGUGCUUGACCUAUCCCUAGUGAUAGUCGAUCACUAGCGUUAGAUUGCCGGUGGAAAGUAAUCAACGAUCCCCACGGAAGUGAUCACCUACCAAUCGUUAUCUCAAUUGCUAAUGGGUCAAUUCCAACGGAUCCAAUCGAUAUUGCGUAUGACCUCACACGUAACAUUGAUUGGAUGUCUUAUGAGACCAUAAUAUCGCAAAGAAUCGAGUCCCACGUGGAACUUCCUCCGGAGGAAGAAUACGCGUUCCUUUCUGGCUUGAUCAUCGACGCCGCGACUCAAGCUCAGACGAAACCGAUACCCGGGGUAACGAUUAGACGGCGCCCUCCCUCCAAGUGGACAAAGGGUGCUCAGACCUGUACGCGCGAAGGUCCACGGUGUAUUUGGCCUUCCGAGAACAAGGCACUAUCGAUUUGCUCCGAAAGUACGAUGUACUGGAUAGACAGAUGAAGAGCUUGAUAAAAGCAAAAAAACGCGGAUACUGGCGGCGGUUCGUAAACGCGUUGUCGAGGGAAACAGCGAUAAGCACUCUUUGGGAUACCGCCAGACGCAUGCGGAAUCGUAACGUUUCGAAUGAGUCCGAGGAGUAUUCAGAUCGCUGGAUACUCGUUUCGCCAAAAAGGUCUGCCCGGACUCUGUCCCCGAACAGAAGACCUUUCGCGACGCGUUAUUAGUAACUACGGAAGAGCCUUCAUUUUCGAUGUUGGAAUUUUCAAUGGCUCUCCUCUCGUGCAACAAUAAAGCCCCAGGGUUGGAUAGAAUAAAAUUCAACCUGUUGAAGAAUCUACCCGACUCUGCAAAAAGACGCUUGUUGAACUUAUUCAACAAGUUCCUUGAGCUAAACAUUGUUCCGCAAGACUGGAGGGAGGUAAAAGUCAUUGCUAUUCAAAAACCCGGAAAACCUGCCUCUGAUCACAAUUCUUAAAGGCCGAUUGCUAUGCUCUCUUGCCUCAGGAAAUUAAUGGAGAAAAUGAUCCUCUUACGGUUAGACAAAUGGGUCGAAACAAAUGGUUUACUUUCAGGUACUCAAUUUGGCUUUCGCCGGGGCAAAGGAACGAACGAUUGCCUAGCGUUGCUUUCUACCGAAAUUCAACUCGCCUUUGCUCGAAAAGAGCAAAUGGCUUCUGCAUUCUUGGACAUUAAGGGGGCAUUUUACUCUGUCUCUGUAGAAGUUUUAACCGAGAAACUUCAUUCGCAGGGACUUUCACCAAAUUUGGAUAAUUUUUUGUUCAAUUUGUCGUCAGAAAAGCAUAUGUAUUUCUCACAUGGUGAUUCGACAACUUCCCGAAUUAGUUACAUGGGCCUUCCUCAGGGCUCAUGUUUAAGCCCUCUCUUAUAUAAUUUUUACGUCAAUGACAUCGAUAAAUGUCUUGCAAAUUCAUGCACGCUACGGCAACUUGCAGACGAUAGCGUUGUAUCCAUUACUGGAAGCGAGGCUAGCGAUCUGCAAGGACCAUUGCGAAAUACCUUACACAAUUUGUCUGAAUGAGCUCUUAAGCUGGGUAUCGAAAUCCCUCCGGCGAAAACUGAGCUGGUCGUUUUUUCUAGGAAGCAUAACCCAGCUCAGCUGCAGCUCCUACUAACGGGUAAAACGAUCUCUCAGGUUUUAGUCGCUAAAUAUCUCGGGGUCUGGUGCGACUCUAAAUGCACCUGGGCUUGUCAUAUUAGGUAUCUAACACGAAAAUGCCAUCAGAGGAUUAAUUUUCUUCGUACGAUUACCGGAACCUGGUGGUGUUGUCACUACCCUCCAAGUAGGGUAGCUUCCCGACAAACUUCAGCAACACGAGACCUGGACUUAGUCACAAGGCCGGCGCGCUACUUGGCAAACUGGAGGGAUUUUGCGAUACUAAAUUUCACUGAAACGCUCAACUUCUUUAAAAAGUGUUUUAUUGAACGGUGUGGUGUGUGCUUCGACGGGGGUCACGACAGGUACGUACCGCUACUUCUCUCGACUCUCCUGGCUCGAUGUGCGGCGUCCCGCGUCGAACGAUGAUUUUCCGCCGGUCAGCGACAGGGCGGCUGCAACUGCGUGGGUGGUGUGUAGGCGACCUGGAAAGGCGUUCCAGGCAAGGGUCUUCUCAGGCGCUUCCUUCGUUGGCGUGGAUCGGUUGGCGACGGACGAUACCGACUUCUGCCGAACCGAGAAGAGAAUCCUCUCCUUUACGGUUAGGGCCGUUGCCCGAGAGCAUGUUGGUCUUUUACGGUUAGUCGUAGACAACUUAAUGCUGCCUAGGCCGAAGCGGGUGCCGAGUGCUAUCGCGAUCGCCAAUCGCAAAUUUAUUAAAUGCAACAAAAAGGUCCUAUGGGCGGGAAAUUUUCCCAAAACUAGCCAGGUUCAGAGGUAUUUUACGGUGGCGGAUACAUUAAUCACUUAUUUCCGUGGUUACCUGAAUAAUUCUUAUGAUUGUCCUCUUUUACUCCUCAGUUUCUCCGGUUCAACAAUCAUUUACCACCAAUUACCUCUUUUUUUGAAAAAACUCGCACCUCUUUAUCACUCGCUCGCCUGAAUUCAAAUGCGCUGUUGGCGCGUACUCGAUAGCCGCCAAUGCUCGUAGUUCAAAUUUGGUAUGGCGGCUAGUCGACUCAUUUCGCCCCGUAUGCGACAGCCCAUCGGUUUUGUGUAAGAGUUGAACUGUGGAAGCUUAGUACGUUACAUGAAAAAUAGGUGAGCGUUUACUAGGUACAUUUCAUACAAUUAAAAAAACAUUUGAUUUCACUGUAACGAUCGGUUACACUAUCCCCCACUCCGGUUAAAUAAUUGAACUAUUCAGUUCAAUUAUUUAGAACGAAAAGCUUCGGAAGCUGUCAAGUGGUUACUGAACAUAAAACGAACAAAUACAUCGCAACACGUAGUAGUUAAAAAACAUGGAAUCAGUGGAACAUCACGACUUGUAGCAACUAAGAGUACAUUUUUCGUUCGAAAAUCUGCCAUAAUUGUACAUAUGUAAUAUUUUUGUUUAGUGUAACUGAGUGUUCAUUGACAUCAGUGGUGAGUAAUGUUCCUACUAUUGCUUCGUUAAGUUCAUCUCAGUUUCAUCUUGCUUCCGCAGGGGAAGGAGAUCACUUAUCAGUAUCUAUUCGUCCGGGUGCUAUUAGUGUAAAAGUAGUUGAGCUUAUAACAAAGUUGGAGCAAUUUACUAAGGGACUAUACUUGCACGUGACAUAUCUACAUAAUAAAAAAUAUGAGGAUUGACCGACGCAACAAACAAAAAUACCAAACUGAACAAUAAAUAUUAAAAUUAUGUAUCGCUUUAAUGUUAGGCUAAAAGAAAAGUUUAUUUCCAGGUUCAUUCGGCUGGUUGGCCUUCCAGCGAAUUUCAGGUGUCCAAGGAUGGGGUUCCUUUCGAUUAAAUGAUGGUGCUUUCACGCGUAAAAGCUAAUUUGUCACGUUAUUCCACCUGAAGAACGAACCUGAUAACCAACGCAUUUCAUUCGCCGUUUGCGAUACUUUAUGCUUUCAGAAUGAGUGAUGAGUAGUUUCGAUCUCUUUUCAGCAAGAAGCUUUUCUCUCUUGCUGCACGAAGCUUUCAUCGCCGCGGUCCGGGUUCAUUAAACGCACGACGAUCGAUGAACAUUAUGACAGAUUCAUCUAGCACUCGAUGAACUUGAAACACGUCAAUGAGCGCAUCUCGCUGUUAGCCUGCCAUAAUCUGAAGCAUGCUUCUAGAUACUCGGAUUUUUCAGUGCUUAUUAUCUGGCCGAAGAUCGGCUGCAGAAAAUAUUCCCAGAUUUUUACCGUUUUCAUCUGCCAAUUCAUAAGAACUUGUACCUCUCCUCGCAACGACUACGCAUGGGAGAUAGAGAGGUCCAUAUUUGGCAUUGUAAUGAUCGGCCGCUGAGGAUAAUCGAAAGUUCUUCUUCAAUACGGACUGGCCCACUUGCACAUAUUGAAUCUUCGUAAGUUUUUCCUCGAUCUGACAGAAUUCUAGUUCCUGUGCUUCCUUAGAAACCAGCGGAACAUCCUCAACUUCUGGCUGAGCUUAAGCGAACUACGCAGUUUUCGCUUUUUUGCAUCUCGCGAAUCACCACUAGAAAAUUUUUGCUGGCGUAUUAGCAACUCGUGUUCGAUUUCAUCGUCCAACAAGUGCUCAGGAUUCAACGACCGGUAUUGUAAUUUAAAUUUAGACGUCAUUGUCUUUUUAGAAUAAGUACCGAAAGUUAAAUUAAUUUUACUUAAAAAAAAUAUUUAUUUACAAGCAAAUCUAAACUAUAAUAUUAUAAGAAAAUUCAAACUUAAAUAAUUUAUUUAGGAAAAAGUAGCACAAUAGUAAAAAUAAUAAAUAAUUGAUGUCAA